rfam:Anopheles gambiae str. PEST chromosome 2L, whole genome shotgun sequence.
GAACGCGGAUGCUCUGCAAUCGGAUGGGAUCCGAAGCGCCUUGAUGGAUAAUACAGGCUCUCGCAUCCAAAUCCUAUUCCGACACGUCUUUGUCGUGCAGAGUGGUAACGUGUGCCAUCACAUAUCCAAGCUUGGGUACACGGACUUGACCCAACCCCUUGGACGAAUGGUGGCAUAUGGCGAACCAGGAGGGG